GUUGCAUUGAAUUAUGUUUUUGAAGAUGGUUGAAGAUGUCCUUAAGGCCAAUCCAAAGGGUGAAGAAAUCUUCAAGGAGUAUGACAAGAUCAAAACUCCUAACUGAUGGAAAACGGAAUGAAAUGGUGAACAUCCUGGUUGCUGAUAUGAUCAAGACACAUGGGAUUCCACCAUCAAGUGCACAAACUAAUUAUGCCCUGGGAAUUGUGACCUCCAAGAUCCAUACUCUGAAAAUGGAUAUGAACACUACUAUGAUGCUGUGGGUAACACUGGCUACCUAGCAUGGAGGAUUAAGACCGUUCAGCGCAACUCCUCUUUUGGGUCCCAGAGUUAUCCAAGGCCAUCUUAUCAAGAUAGUCCAAGAAGCAGACGAAGCAGAUGAAAAUUGUGUGUCUACUUUUUCUAAGAUUGACCAGGACUUCGCCGUGAUGUUUGGAGAAGGGGUGUCCAGUAGGUUUCUAGCGAAGUGGCCUACUUUUUCAUAAGUGACUGCAGGACACUCUCCCCAAAUCAGUAUGCUGAGGAACUGCUGCGACCAAUAGAACCCCAACCUGAGGAUACCUUCGGUUGGGACAGUGACAUGUCAGCAAUUCUCCUGCUUCUACAUCUGCUUCCCCCCAACCUCGAGAGGCCAGAAAAAAUCAGCGAAGAUCAGUUCCGCCCAGUCAGCCAACCAUCUUGUGGGAUAGAUUCAAGAAGGAGCCAGUCUUACUACCUUCCUUGAAAGAGCUGAAACGAAACAGCCCUUACCUCCUCUGCGUUGGUCAAUAAAAGAACAAAAUCUUGAAGUUCUACAUCAUCAUCGACCUGAAUGCUCUCCCAUGCAAGGCCCAGACAUCUGUGGCUGAUUUUGAUGAGGUAUUUAAAGCUUACUAUGUCUUUGGCCUCUCCUAUGAAGAAGCUCUGAGCUUUUUAUACAUUUGUGCAGACCACAGUGUAUAGUAUUGAUGUUGGAGUUGCCAAGGAGAGCCCUCGUGUUAAGGAACUUAGAGCAAGAUUACUGCAGCACAACAUCAGAACUAACAGUUGGUGUUUAGAAACAUUUUGAGCAGCAAGACUGCUUCAGCACAAAAGGUGAACUAAUCGUUUGUUAAAUAAAAUGUUCACAUGUUUUGUUUGUGA